GACGAACGCUGGCGGCGUGCUUAACACAUGCAAGUCGAACGGAAAGGCCCUGCUUGCAGGGUGCUCGAGUGGCGAACGGGUGAGUAACACGUGGGUGAACUGCCCCUUACUUUGGGAUAAGCCUGGGAAACUGGGUCUAAUACAGGAUAGGACCAUGCUGGAGGCGGUGUGGUGGAAGGAUUAGUUCCGGUAAGGGGUGAGCUCGCGGCCUAUCAGCUUGUUGGUGGGGUAAUGGCCUACCAAGGCGUCGACGGGUAGCCGGCCUGAGAGGGUGGACGGCCACACUGGGCCUGUGAUACGGCCCACACUCCUACGGGAGGCAGCAGUGGGGAAUAUUUCACAGUGGGCGCAAGCCUGAUGCAGCGACGCCGCGUGGGCGAUGACGGCCUUCGUGUUGUAAACUCCUUUCAGCCAUGACGAAGCCUUCGGGUGACGGUAGUGGUAGAAGAAGCACCGGCUAACUACGUG
rnacentral:rRNA from 1 species